rnacentral:rRNA from 1 species
UGGGGAAUUUUGGACAAUGGGCGCAAGCCUGAUCCAGCAAUGCCGCGUGCAGGAUGAAGGCCUUCGGGUUGUAAACUGCUUUUGUACGAGACGAAAAGACUCGCUCUAAUACAGUGGGUACAUGACGGUAUCGUAAGAAUAAGCACCGGCUAACUACGUGCCAGCAGCCGCGGUAAUACGUAGGGUGCAAGCGUUAAUCGGAAUUACUGGGCGUAAAGCGUGCGCAGGCGGUUUUGUAAGACAGAGGUGAAAUCCCCGGGCUCAACCUGGGAACUGCCUUUGUGACUGCAAAGCUAGAGUGCGGCAGAGGGGGAUGGAAUUCCGCGUGUAGCAGUGAAAUGCGUAGAUAUGCGGAGGAACACCGAUGGCGAAGGCAAUCCCCUGGGCCUGCACUGACGCU